rnacentral:rRNA from 1 species
UAAAAGAGAAAUUUCCUCUAUCAUGACGAACGCGGCGGCGUGCUAAUACAUGCAAGUCGAGCGGACAGAUGGGAGCUUGCUCUGAUGUAGCGGCGGACGGGUGAGUAACACGUGGGUAACUGCCUGUAAGACUGGGAUAACUCCGGGAAACCGGGGCUAAUACCGGAUGCUUGUUUGAACCGCAUGGUUCAAACAUAAAAGGUGGCUUCGGCUACCACUUACAGAUGGACCCGCGGCGCAUAGCUAGUUGGUGAGGUAAUGGCUCACCAAGGCAACGAUGCGUAGCCGACCUGAGAGGGUGAUCGGCCACACUGGGACUGAGACACGGCCCAGACUCCUACGGGAGGCAGCAGUAGGGAAUCUUCCGCAAUGGACGAAAGUCUGACGGAGCAACGCCGCGUGAGUGAUGAAGGUUUUCGGAUCGUAAAGCUCUGUUGUUAGGGAAGAACAAGUACCGUUCGAAUAGGGCGGUACCUUGACGGUACCUAACCAGAAAGCCACGGCUAACUACGUGCCAGCAGCCGCGGUAAUACGUAGGUGGCAAGCGUUGUCCGGAAUUAUUGGGCGUAAAGGGCUCGCAGGCGGUUUCUUAAGUCUGAUGUGAAAGCCCCCGGCUCAACCGGGGAGGGUCAUUGGAAACUGGGGAACUUGAGUGCAGAAGAGGAGAGUGGAAUUCCACGUGUAGCGGUGAAAUGCGUAGAGAUGUGGAGGAACACCAGUGGCGAAGGCGACUCUCUGGUCUGUAACUGACGCUGAGGAGCGAAAGCGUGGGGAGCGAACAGGAUUAGAUACCCUGGUAGUCCACGCCGUAAACGAUGAGUGCUAAGUGUUAGGGGGUUUCCGCCCCUUAGUGCUGCAGCUAACGCAUAAGCACUCCGCAUUGG